rnacentral:rRNA from 1 species
UGCGUAGGCGGACUUUCAAGUCAGUGGUGAAAGCCCAUCGCUCAACGAUGGAAUUGCCAUUGAUACUGUUGGUCUUGAGUACGGUUGAAGUGGGCGGAAUGUGUCAUGUAGCGGUGAAAUGCUUAGAUAUGACACAGAACACCUAUUGCGAAGGCAGCUCGCUAAGCCGUAACUGACGCUGAGGCACGAAAGUGUGGGUAGCAAACAGGAUUAGAUACCCUGGUAGUCC